GACGAACGCUGGCGGCGUGCUUAACACAUGCAAGUCGAACGGAAAGGCCCUGCUUUUGUGGGGUGCUCGAGUGGCGAACGGGUGAGUAACACGUGAGUAACCUGCCCUUGACUUUGGGAUAACUUCAGGAAACUGGGGCUAAUACCGGAUAGGAGCUCCUGCUGCAUGGUGGGGGUUGGAAAGUUUCGGCGGUUGGGGAUGGACUCGCGGCCUAUCAGCUUGUUGGUGGGGUAGUGGCUUACCAAGGCUUUGACGGGUAGCCGGCCUGAGAGGGUGACCGGCCACAUUGGGACUGAGAUACGGCCCAGACCCCUACGGGAGGCAGCAGUGGGGAAUAUUGCCCAAUGGGCGGAAGCCUGAUGCAGCAACGCCGCGUGCGGGAUGACGGCCUUCGGGUUGUAAACCGCUUUCGCCUGUGACGAAGCGUGAGUGAGGGUAAUGGGUAAAGAAGCACCGGCUAACUACGUG
rnacentral:rRNA from 1 species